rnacentral:lncRNA from 1 species
UUUAAGGAUAUCAAUUGACAAGGAGCCAAAAAUAUACAUUUGGUUGUUAAUUUUUAUCAUAUUUCGGCAUUGAGGAGGAGUAAUCGAAGCUGGAAGGGGUUUUCUUUAUCACCACUUAUCUGUUAGUGGCGAGUGGAGAAUGCUUUCUAAUUGUUAUUCUUCAAAUAUCUAAUGACCAUCAUCAUAUUUCCCUAUCUAUUGCAAUUUGAGUAAAAAGGAAGAAGAGAUAAAAGGUGGGAGACCAUCCACAAAUAUUGACAAUGCGUGUGAGAAUGAAAAGUUGGUGGAGAAGAGUUAACCAAAGAAUGCAAUAAACAAAUAUUAUUUCAUCAAAGUGAUGAAGCAAUGUUUGUACAAUUGCUUUUGCAUGAGCCGAAAGUUACAUGCAAUCAUCCAAUCAAUAGAUGAUUUUUGCUCACCACUUUAAUUCGAUUGGGGUUCGUCAACGACGUCGUGACUGGAUCCGUCAGAGAAGAACCAUCGGGAGACCCUAUUUGACCAAAUUCAAAGCGUCAACGAACAACUGGCAUUCAACUUGGUCUUAUUGGAGUCGAAGCAAGCGGGGGGUUGUUCUUGAGAAGGAAAAGGAAGAGCCUAAGCCUUGCCGGCUUAGCAAAAAGAGAGAUAGUGUCGGUCGUACUCGAUGAUCAUGUGGUCGAGGUCCUUGUCGUUGGUAACGGAGAUGAAGGCGUCGAGAUCUUCGCCAGGGACCUGGUACUUAAAGCAGACGACAAUGUUCAAGGUGUCACAGAAUAAGGCAACUUGGAAGCGAAAGCGGAGAGCUUGAUGUUGCGAUCUACGAUGCUGAUUUUGGUGUCGUCGCUGACGUAUACGAGCUGGUGGCCGUACAGGCAAGGCUGGUUGGGGUGGGUCUCGUCGAGAAGGGGGGAGAGAAGGAUAAAUUUUUUUUUUUUUAAUGUUAUUUGAUUAUUAUUUUACUUUAUCUUUUAAUUUUAAAUACUUAAAAUAUUAAAAAUUAUAGAGUUAACUAUGGUUAUAAGU